CCUACGGGUGGCAGCAGUGGGGGAUAUUGCACAAUGGGGGAAACCCUGAUGCAGCGACGCCGCGUGAGUGAGGAAGUACCUCGGUAUGUAAAGCUCUAUCAGCAGGGAAGAAAAUGACGGUACCUGAAUAAGAAGCCCCGGCUAACUACGUGCCAGCAGCCGCGGUAAUACGUAGGGGGCAAGCGUUAUCCGGAUUUACUGGGUGUAAAGGGAGCGUAGACGGCGAAGCAAGUCAGAAGUGAAAACCCAGGGCCCAACCUUGGGAGUGCUUUUGAAACUGAGUGGCUAGAGUGCAGGAGAGGUAGGCGGAAUUCCUGGUGUAGCGGUGAAAUGCGUAGAUAUCAGGAGGAACACCGGUGGCGAAGGCGGCUUACUGGACUGUAACUGACGUUGAGGCUCGAAAGCGUGGGGAGCAAACAGGAUUAGAUACCCUUGUAGUC
rnacentral:rRNA from 1 species